rnacentral:rRNA from 1 species
UCACACCCGUUCCCAUACCGAACACGGAAGUUAAGCUCUCUAGCGCCGAUGGUAGUUGGGACCUUGUCCCUGUGAGAAUAGGACGUCGCCAAGC